rnacentral:rRNA from 1 species
GACAGAGGGUGCAAACGUUGUUCAGAAUUACUGGGCGUAAAGCGCGUGUAGGCGGCUUGGCAAGUCGGGUGUGAAAGCCCCGGGCUCAACCUGGGAAGUGCACUCGAAACUGCUUGGUUUGAGUACUGGAGAGGGAAGCGGAAUUCUCGGUGUAGAGGUGAAAUUCGUAGAUAUCGAGAGGAACACCGGUGGCGAAGGCGGCUUCCUGGACAGUUACUGACGCUGAGACGCGAAAGCGUGGGGAGCAAACAGG